rnacentral:lncRNA from 1 species
CGAUGCACAAAGGAAUCAAAGCUCAGAACGAGGGCUGAGAGCUUGAAAGACUUCACAAAUGCCACGUGACCAACACAUGUUGACAAUGACACACAAUGCCACAUUCUCAAGGCCACAGAGUCACACAAUCAUUCCUGUGGCUUUCCAUGUGGAGAAUUACAAGGGCCUGACGCAGCUCAAUCUCCAGGCUAAAGGCCCUCUCAAGACACUGGCUUAAAAAGAGACAAGAGGUCCGGAACAAUCACAGGACCAAGAGAGGAAAGUGGCUACGAGGUCAGGGCGAUGAUCCGCAGCUGGGGCAAGGACGGCGGUGUCAACCAUGAUGAGGCUGACAGCAGGUGCUGCUGGAAAAAGAAAGACAGAAAAAUUUGAAAUGAUUGUUUAGAAUUAUUUUUCAGGCAUAAAGCUUCUUUUUAAGCGAUUUUGAAUUUAAAAAAAAUAGUCCCUCUUUGUGUUCGUUUUUUUUUUCCUAUUUGAAACUGAAACAAACCAAAAUAAUAAUAAUAAAAACCUGUACAGGAGGUUGUGUUUUGCAGUUGGAACUGAGUCGGAGUCCUAAAUUAGAAUGAUGAUCUCUGUAGCAGCCGUUCACGCAUCAUUCAUCAUUCACUCAUUCAUAAUCACGGUCUGGAGGGGGCAUCUGGAACAGCACUCUUAAGCAACAUUUGGAUCAGUUCCGUUUUGGUAAACUCCGUUUGUAACUUUGC